rnacentral:rRNA from 1 species
CAGCAGCCACGGUAAUACGUAGGGUCCGAGCGUUGUCCGGAAUUAUUGGGCGUAAAGGGCUCGUAGGCGGUUUGUUGCGUCGGGAGUGAAAACCAGGUGCUUAACACCUGGCCUGCUUUCGAUACGGGCAGACUAGAGGCAUUCAGGGGAGAACGGAAUUCCUGGUGUAGCGGUGAAAUACGCAGAUAUCAGGAGGAACACCGGUGGCGAAGGCGGUUCUCUGGGAAUGUUCUGACGCUGAGGAGCGAAAGUGUGGGGAGCGAACAGGAUUAGAUACCCCAGUAGUCCCUGUCUCUUAUAC